AGAGUUUGAUCAUGGCUCAGAACGUACGCUGGCGGCACGCCUAAUACAUGCAAGUCGAACGAAGUAGCAAUACUUAGUGGCAGACGGGUGAGUAACAUGUGGGUAUCUUCCCUUUGGUGAGGAAUAACACGAGGAAACUUGUGCUAAUACCUCAUAAGUCUUUACGGAGAAAGCUUUAUGCGCCAUUGGAUGAGCCUGCACUUGAUUAGUUUGUUGGUGGGGUAAUGGCCUACCAAGACUUUGAUCAAUAGCUGAUUUGAGAGGAUGAUCAGCCACAUUGGGACUGAGACACGGCCCAAACUCCUACGGGAGGCAGCAGUAGGGAAUCUUGCACAAUGGAGGAAACUCUGAUGCAGCGAUGCCGCGUGAGUGAAGAAGGCCUUUGGGUUGUAAAGCUCUUUCGUCGGGGAAGAAAAUGACUGUACCCGAAUAAGAAGGUCCGGCUAACUUCGUGCCAGCAGCCGCGGUAAUACGAAGGGACCUAGCGUAGUUCGGAAUUACUGGGCUUAAAGAGUUCGUAGGUGGUUAAAAAAGUUGGUGGUGAAAGCCCAGAGCUUAACUCUGGAACGGCCAUCAAAACUUUUUAGCUAGAGUUUGAUAGAGGAAAGCAGAAUUUCUAGUGUAGAGGUGAAAUUCGUAGAUAUUAGAAAGAAUACCAAUUGCGAAGGCAGCUUUCUGGAUCAUUACUGACACUGAGGAACGAAAGCAUGGGUAGCGAAGAGGAUUAGAUACCCUCGUAGUCC
rnacentral:rRNA from 1 species